AGAGUUUGAUCCUGGCUCAGGAUGAACGCUGGCGGCGUGCCUAAUACAUGCAAGUCGAACGAAUCUUCUUCGGAAGAUGAGUGGCGAACGGGUGAGUAAUACAUAGGUAACCUGCCCCUGUGCGGGGGAUAACAGGAGGAAACUCCUGCUAAUACCGCAUAGCCAUGAGCACCGCAUGGAGCUCAUGCCAAAUAUCCUUUCGGGGAUAGCGCAGGGAUGGACCUAUGGCGCAUUAGCUGGUUGGCGGGGCAACGGCCCACCAAGGCAACGAUGCGUAGCCGGCCUGAGAGGGCGGACGGCCACAUUGGGACUGAGACACGGCCCAGACUCCUACGGGAGGCAGCAGUAGGGAAUUUUCGGCAAUGGGGGAAACCCUGACCGAGCAACGCCGCGUGAGCGAAGAAGGCCUUCGGGUCGUAAAGCUCUGUUGUAAAGGAAGAACGGCGCAUACAGGAAAUGGUAUGCGAGUGACGGUACUUUACCAGAAAGCCACGGCUAACUACGUGCCAGCAGCCGCGGUAAUACGUAGGUGGCGAGCGUUAUCCGGAAUCAUUGGGCGUAAAGAGGGAGCAGGCGGCCGCAAGGGUCUGUGGUGAAAGACCGAAGCUAAACUUCGGUAAGCCAUGGAAACCGGGCGGCUAGAGUGCGGAAGAGGAUCGUGGAAUUCCAUGUGUAGCGGUGAAAUGCGUAGAUAUAUGGAGGAACACCAGUGGCGAAGGCGACGGUCUGGGCCGCAACUGACGCUCAUUCCCGAAAGCGUGGGGAGCAAAUAGGAUUAGAUACCCUAGUAGUCCACGCCGUAAACG
rnacentral:rRNA from 1 species